rnacentral:rRNA from 1 species
AUUGAACGCUGGCGGCAUGCUUUACACAUGCAAGUCGAACGGUAACAGGCCGCAAGGUGCUGACGAGUGGCGAACGGGUGAGUAAUGCAUCGGAACGUGCCCAGUCGUGGGGGAUAACGCAGCGAAAGCUGCGCUAAUACCGCAUACGAUCUAGGGAUGAAAGCGGGGGACCGUAAGGCCUCGCGCGAUUGGAGCGGCCGAUGUCAGAUUAGGUAGUUGGUGGGGUAAAGGCUCACCAAGCCAACGAUCUGUAGCUGGUCUGAGAGGACGACCAGCCACACUGGGACUGAGACACGGCCCAGACUCCUACGGGAGGCAGCAGUGGGGAAUUUUGGACAAUGGGCGCAAGCCUGAUCCAGCAAUGCCGCGUGCAGGAAGAAGGCCUUCGGGUUGUAAACUGCUUUUGCACGGAACGAAACGGUCCUGGUUAAUACCCGGGGCUAAUGACGGUACCGUAAGAAUAAGCACCGGCUAACUACGUGCCAGCCGCCGCAGUAACAC